GACGAACCGAGCAAACGUUAUUCGGAAUCACUGGGCUUAAAGGGCGCGUAGGCGGGCAUCCAAGUCUGUGGUGAAAUCCGGCAGCUUAACUGUCGAACUGCCGUGGAUACUGGGUGCCUCGAGGGAGGUAGGGGCGUGCGGAACUAUUGGUGGAGCGGUGAAAUGCGUUGAUAUCAAUAGGAACUCCGGUGGCGAAGGCGGCACGCUGGACCUCUUCUGACGCUGGAGGCGCGAAAGCCAGGGGAGGCGAAACGGG
rnacentral:rRNA from 1 species